rnacentral:rRNA from 2 species
CUAUGUACGGAAUGGAUAAGCGCUGAAAGCAUCUAAGCGCGAAGCCAACUUCAAGAUAAGAUUUCCCACCGCAAGGGUAAGACCCCAGAAAGACUAUCUGGUUGAUAGGUCGAAGGUGUAAGUGCAGCAAUGUAUUUAGCUUAUCGAUACUAAUAGGUCGAGGACUUGACCAAU